rnacentral:rRNA from 1 species
CCCUUAGAUGUUCUGGGCUGCACGCGCGCUACACUGAUGCGCUCAACGAGUUUUAACCUUGCCUGGAAAGGUUGGGUAAUCUUUUUAAAACGCAUCGUGAUAGGGAUAGAUUAUUGAAAUUAUUAAUCUUGAACGAGGAAUUCCUAGUAAACGCAGAUCAUCAAUCUGCAUUGAUUACGUCCCUGCCCUUUGUACACACCGCCCGUCGCACCUACCGAUUGGAUGGUCCGGUGAAGCCUCGGGAUUGUGGUUCUUGCCGCUUUAUUGUGGCGUGACCGCGAGAACUUGUCUAAACCUUAUCAUCUAGAGGAAGGUGAAGUCGUAACA